GCCAGCAUGGUAUAAUGGUUUGAGUGCAGGCAGGACUAUGACUCUGGAGACCUGGUUUCAAUUCCCAGCUCUGCCA